AUAAGGAGUCGUAUCCACAGUGCUGC
rnacentral:piRNA from 2 species